GACGAACGCUGGCGGCGUGCUUAACACAUGCAAGUCGAACGGAAAGGCCCCUUUGGGGGUACUCGAGUGGCGAACGGGUGAGUAACACGUGAGUAACCUGCCCUUGACUUCGGGAUAACUUCAGGAAACUGGGGCUUAUACCGGAUAGGAAUCCUUGCUGCAUGGUGGGGGUUGGAAAGCUUCGGCGGUUUUGGAUGGACUCGCGGCUUAUCAGCUUGUUGGUGGGGUAGUGGCUUACCAAGGCUUUGACGGGUAGCCGGCCUGAGAGGGCGACCGGCCACAUUGGGACUGAGAUACGGCCCAGACUCCUACGGGAGGCAGCAGUGGGGAAUAUUGCACAAUGGGCGGAAGCCUGAUGCAGCAACGCCGCGUGCGGGAUGACGGCCUUCGGGUUGUAAACCGCUUUCAGCAGGGGCGAAGCUUGUGGUGACGGUACCUGCAGAAGAAGCACCGGCUAACUACGUG
rnacentral:rRNA from 1 species